rnacentral:lncRNA from 1 species
UUCAGUUAUUCACAAUCCCUUUCAUUAAAACUAAACUAACACAACAAGUCAAUUUUGUUUAACUGCAACUACGAAUCGUGAUUAACAGAGGGAAAAGCAAACAAACUAACAUUAACCAAUUUUCUAAUUUAACUAACUGACUCAAACACUAACACUUCAAGCCAAAACUAACAGAAAAGUCUGAAACAAUCACAUAGUAAAGAACAAUUCCUAACUAACAAAAACAUCAUUUCAUAAAGCAGGAAGGUGAAUUCACAUUUCAUUUGAAUUUGAGUUUCAACCAACCUUUACAUUUCUAACUAACAGUUCAUUUCAUUGUGAAUUUCAUUUGAAUCUCUAACAAACUCUGCAACUCUAUAUAAACAAUAACUCACUGCAUUUUCAGCAUCCAUGAACAUUCAAUCUUCACUUUGCAUCGCCAUCAUCAUCAAAAUCAACCCCUCAGAACCACUCUCACGCUCAGAACCUCACAUAACCUCUCAAUCCGCAUGCAACGAAUGCAACAACAACACACGCAAUACAAAAAGCGGAGGGAGAAGAAACAUAAGCAAUUCAAAGAAGAUUGAAACAGAAGUGAGAAGAAGUAGAGGUAUACGCAGAGCAAGGCAUAGAUAAUCGAUACAUGUUCGUGCCACGUAGCUUGAGCUCAAAUUCCGGUAAAUUUUCCUCUACCUUUUUAUUAUGAUCCAUGACUCAUUGUGUUGUUCGCUUCAAUUAGAUUUCUUUCGAUUCUGCGCUCGCACAAUGAUGAACCAAAUUGGAUGUUGAUGUUGAUUUCGGAGAUUGAAUGAACCUCAGAGCUUUGUUUUUCAUCUUUUCUUCGUUCUGAUUUCAAAGUGGAAAACGUGAGGUUUGAACGCGAUGAAGUCUUGGCUGCAUCGAGGUGGAUUUUGAAUGAUGUUGGUUCCAGGUUUG